rnacentral:rRNA from 1 species
CAGCCGCCGCGGGAAUACAGAGGGUGCAAGCGUUAAUCGGAAUUACUGGGCGUAAAGCGCGCGUAGGUGGUUUGUUAAGUUGGAUGUGAAAUCCCCGGGCUCAACCUGGGAACUGCAUCCAAAACUGGCAGGCCAGAGUAGGGCAGAGGGUGGUGGAAUUUCCUGUGUAGCGGUGAAAUACGUAGAUAUUCGGAAGAACACCAGUGGCGAAGGCGGCUUACUGGCUCAUACUGGACGCUGAGGUGCGAAAGCGUGGGGAGCAAACAGGAUUAGAUACCCCCGUAGUCCCUGUCUCUUAUAC